rnacentral:rRNA from 1 species
GAUGAACGCUGGCGGUAUGCCUAACACAUGCAAGUCGUACGAGAGUUUUUAACUCUAGUGGCGGACGGGUGAGUAACACGUGAGAAUUUGCCUUUAGGAGGGGGAUAACAAUUGGAAACGAAUGCUAAUACCCCAUAUGCUUCCGAGUGAAAUGGAUUUAUAUUUAUCCGCCUAGAGAGAAGCUCGCGGCUGAUUAGCUUGUUGGUAAGGUAAGAGCUUACCAAGGCGACGAUCAGUAUCUGGUUUGAGAGGACGAUCAGACACACUGGAACUGAGACACGGUCCAGACUCCUACGGGAGGCAGCAGUGGGGAAUUUUCCGCAAUGGGCGAAAGCCUGACGGAGCAAUACCGCGUGAGGGAAGACUGCCUAUGGGUUGUAAACCUCUUUUUUCAGGGAGGAAUAAAUGACGUGUACCUGAAGAAUAAGCAUCGGCUAACUCCGUGCCAGCAGCCGCGGUAAGACGGAGGAUGCAAGUGUUAUCCGGAAUCACUGGGCGUAAAGCGUCUGUAGGUGGUUUAAUAAGUCAACUGUUAAAUCUUGAGGCUCAACUUCAAAAUCGCAGUCGAAACUAUUAGACUAGAGUAUAGUAGAGGUAAAGGGAAUUUCCAGUGGAGCGGUGAAAUGCGUAGAUAUUGGAAAGAACACCGAUGGCGAAAGCACUUUACUGGGCUAUUACUAACACUCAGAGACGAAAGCUAGGGUAGCAAAUGGGAUUAGAUACCCCAGUAGUCCUAGCCGUAAACAAUGGAUACUAGAUGUUGAACAGAUCGACCUGUGCAGUAUCAAAGCUAACGCGUUAAGUAU